GAUGAACGCUGGCGGCGUGCCUAAUACAUGCAAGUCGAGCGAACGGACGAGAAGCUUGCUUCUCUGAUGUUAGCGGCGGACGGGUGAGUAACACGUGGAUAACCUACCUAUAAGACUGGGAUAACUUCGGGAAACCGGAGCUAAUACCGGAUGAUAUUUUGAACCGCAUGGUUCAAAAGUGAAAGACGGUCUUGCUGUCACUUAUAGAUGGAUCCGCGCUGCAUUAGCUAGUUGGUAAGGUAACGGCUUACCAAGGCAACGAUGCAUAGCCGACCUGAGAGGGUGAUCAGCCACACUGGAACUGAGACACGGUCCAGACUCCUACGGGAGGCAGCAGUAGGGAAUCUUCCGCAAUGGGCGAAAGCCUGACGGAGCAACGCCGCGUGAGUGAUGAAGGUCUUCGGAUCGUAAAACUCUGUUAUUAGGGAAGAACAUAUGUGUAAGUAACUGUGCACAUCUUGACGGUACCUAAUCAGAAAGCCACGGCUAACUACGUG
rnacentral:rRNA from 1 species